rnacentral:ncRNA from 1 species
AUCGUUCAUCUCAUCAAUUGUUUUAUCGCAAAAUAGAGAGAGACGGAAGUAAGUUUGAAUAAACUGAAGGAACGCAAU